rnacentral:rRNA from 1 species
CCCGACUGCUAUCGGAUUGAGAUUUAGCCAUGCGAGUCGAACGUCCCCCUGUUGCGGGGGGCGUGGCGUACGGCUCAGUAACACGUAGUCAACCUGCCCUGGAGACAUGGACAACCCCGGGAAACUGGGAUUAAUCCGUGAUAGGUCAUCUCAUCUGGAAGGAGAGAUGGCUUAAAGGGGUACACGGGCUUCUUCUGUGAAUUCGCUCCAGGAUGGGACUGCGUCCGAUCAGGCUGUUGGCGGGGUAAUGGCCCACCAAACCUUUAACCGGUACGGCCCUUGAGAGAGGUGGCCCGGAGAUGGACACUGAGAGAAGGGUCCAAGGUCCUACGGGGCGCAGCAGGCGCGAAAACCUUCGCAAUGCGCGAAAGCGUGACGAGUUAAUCCGAGUGGCCCCGCUGAGGGGUCUUUUGUCAGCUGUAAAUAGGCAGGCGAAUAAGGGGAGGGCAAGCCUGGUGUCAGCCGCCGCGGUAAUACCAGCUCCUCGAGUGGUCGGGGCGAUUAUUGGGCCUAAAGCAUCCGUAGCCGGUUCCGUAGGUCCUCUGUUAAAUCCAACCGCUUAACGGUUGACCUGCAGAGGAUACCGCGGGACUAGGAGGCGGGAGAGGCGGACGGUACUCCGCGUGUAGGGGUAAAAUCCUUUGAUCCGCGGAAGACCACCAGUGGCGAAGGCGGUCCGCCAGAACGCGCUCGACGGUGAGGGAUGAAAGCUGGGGGAGCGAACCGGAUUAGAUACCCGGGUAGUCCCAGCCGUAAACGAUGCUAGCUAGAUGAUUCAUUCGCAAGUCGCGAAUGAAGUGUCGCAGGGAAGCCGUUAAGCUAGCCGCCUGGGGAGUACCGUCGCAAGACU